rnacentral:rRNA from 1 species
AGUGAACGCUGGCGGUAGGCCUAACACAUGCAAGUCGAACGGCGGCACAGUAAGAGCUUGCUCUUACGGGUGGCGAGUGGCGGACGGGUGAGGAAUACAUCGGAAUCUACUUUUUCGUGGGGGAUAACGUAGGGAAACUUACGCUAAUACCGCAUACGACCUACGGGUGAAAGCAGGGGAUCUUCGGACCUUGCGCGAUUGAAUGAGCCGAUGUCGGAUUAGCUAGUUGGCGGGGUAAGGGCCCACCAAGGCGACGAUCCGUAGCUGGUCUGAGAGGAUGAUUAGCCACACUGGAACUGAGACACGGUCCAGACUCCUACGGGAGGCAGCAGUGGGGAAUAUUGGACAAUGGGCGCAAGCCUGAUCCAGCCAUACCGCGUGGGUGAAGAAGGCCUUCGGGUUGUAAAGCCCUUUUGUUGGGAAAGAAAAGCAGCAGGUUAAUACCCCGCUGUUCUGACGGUACCCAAAGAAUAAGCACCGGCUAACUUCGUG